rnacentral:rRNA from 1 species
AUUGAACGCUGGCGGCAUGCCUUACACAUGCAAGUCGAACGGUAACAGGUUAAGCUGACGAGUGGCGAACGGGUGAGUAAUGUAUCGGAACGUGCCCAGUCGUGGGGGAUAACUGCUCGAAAGAGCAGCUAAUACCGCAUACGACCUGAGGGUGAAAGCGGGGGAUCGCAAGACCUCGCGCGAUUGGAGCGGCCGAUAUCAGAUUAGGUAGUUGGUGGGGUAAAGGCCUACCAAGCCUACGAUCUGUAGCUGGUCUGAGAGGACGACCAGCCACACGGGGACUGAGACACGGCCCAGAAUCCUACGGGAGGCAGCAGUGGGGAAUUUUGGACAAUGGACGCAAGUCUGAUCCAGCCAUGCCGCGUGCGGGAAGAAGGCCUUCGGGUUGUAAACCGCUUUUGUCAGGGAAGAAAUCCUGUCGGUUAAUACCCGGUAGGGAUGACGGUACCCAAAGAAUAAGCACCGGCUAACUUCGUGCCAGCAGCCGCCGUAAAAC